rnacentral:rRNA from 1 species
AGCACGUUAUGGUGGGCGACUCUAAGGAGACUGCCGGUGACAACCGACGGAAGGUGGGGAUGACGUCAAGUCAUCAUGGCCCUUACGGCCUGGGCUACACACGUGCUACAAUGGUCGGUACAAAGGGUUGCCAAGCCGCGAGGUGGAGCUAAUCCCAUAAAACCGAUCGUAGUCCGGAUCGCAGUCUGCAACUCGACUGCGUGAAGUCGGAAUCGCUAGUAAUCGUGAAUCAGAAUGUCACGGUGAAUACGUUCCCGGGCCUU